CUUCCCUUCCCUUACUCCAGGGCCCCUCUCUUAUAAGGUGUGCUGGCAUUGACAGGGGAUACAGCGCAAUGGCUCUCUCGUUUGACACC
rnacentral:snoRNA from 2 species